CUAUUACCAUCAACCUUAGAUGUACAGUUCGGAACCCCCUACCAGAGAUCCGCCGGUUUUGACACACUACAACAAAAUCCCCUCCUUACCAAUGCAUUUGUACCAACGAUCCUGUAGGAUCUGUUGUUUAUCCCACCUCCCACCUCCCGCACUGAGAGCUAACCUCCUCAUCCCCAAGCCUUCCGCGCUUAGAGCCAACCUCCUCUCCCUAAAAUAAAUCAAACCUUCCCGUACAAACACCUACCUCAUCCGCCAUCUCUCUUCCCUGAUUCCCCUCUUUCUCAUCUGACUUCCAUGACGAUCCACCGCCACCUUCGAUUCUCCCUAAAUCAGGCGAUGUCCCGCACCGUCGCUCAUGGGCCAGGCUCCCCCUCAGUGCACUCCUCCUAUAUUCCUCCUUGGCGACGUCCUCGACGCGCCACUGCACGUGUCCUGCAGUAACUCUAGUCGACACGGAUCGCCGGCGCAGCUCGCUCGCCUCUGUUUCAGAGGUCACUACUCCGCGUCGCUGCUUCCUCCUUCCGGCUCAGGCAUGGAUCUGAAAGAAGCUGUGGUGUAGGGUGCUGCUCCCUUCUCUCGGUGGUGGUCGCCAGUGGAGAUGGGCCCGAGGGGAGAGGAGCAUGUGGUGGAGCUCCGGCCGUGUUCCUCAACUACCAAUUGGAUCCCACGCACGCGGGUGGUUCUUGUGGCUCGCGAAGCCUUCGGCGGCGAUGGUGCUCCUUUUGGAUUUAUUUUGGUGCUAGGCGUGCUUUGGUUGCCCCGCGUGCGUUUGUCUGCAGUUGCGUGUGUGCUUGGCUCGUGUGCAUGUGUGUGUGUGUGUGGUGCAUGCGUGCGUGCUGAUUGAAAGUACAACCCUAUUACACUGAUUGUUUGCUACUGCCACUAAUUGCUAUGCCGAUGCUAAUAAUUUUGCUGCUCCUUGGUUCCUAUACAGUAGACACUUGCUACCGCCGCUGGUUGCUAUUGCUGCUGCCGCUAAUUGCUAUUACUGUUGCUGCUGAUUUUCCUACUCCUUAGGACAUAUACAGUAGAUAGAAGAUAAUAUGCAUUCCCAAAUAAAAAAUAUAGAAGAUCUGUAUGUUUUAAAAUUCUUGCAAAUUGAACCAACUACUUUUUAUCUCUUCUCUAAUCUUUCUCUCGAUCAGAUUCUCUUUUAUGCUCUCCAUUGCAAAAAAUUACUCAAUAUGUACAAUAAUAAUCACGAAACCUUCUAGCUCCUUUAUGAUUCCAUUAUCCCUUGUCCUUGCAAUUGUUAGUAUUAUUUGUUCCACCUAUAUCUCAUCAUGCGGUUUUUUUCCUUGCAAUUUUUGUGCCUGCAAGAUGUCAGCUAACUGUCUUUCGGUAUCUAAACAGAUGAAGUAACUAUGAUGUUGGUAUGUAACUAUCCUACAGGGGCAGAUGGAAAUGUACAGCUUAUGGCAUAAUCGCAGAAAGUCGGGCAACCCAUUCGCUUACUUGAUAAACCCUCCCCUGGUUCAGGCCACUAAGGGAGCUGAGUUGUGACCAAAGAUCAAAUCCUCUUGGAUAUAUGAUAUUCUACAUUGGCAGCAAAGGCACAUGGGUAGUGUUUCCUAAAACUGGUAUUAUGAUUUUUCUUUGUAGGUUGAGAUCAAUACAAGAUGAUUACUUGGAUCUUGGAGAACGUAUGAUGAUUCUUCGUACUUGGAGGAGAAACAAGACAGUUCUUUGAAUGUUUAGAAAUUCGAUAUUUUCUUUUAUUUUGUUUUCUAAGGAAGUGAUGUACCCCUAGUAGAUGAUACUUCCAUUGUACGUAAUGUAACAGAUGGUUCCAUUGAAUAAAUAUAUCAUUUUCAUUUCUACUCUA